UAAGUGUUUUCAAAACAAAAUGCAUAAAAUUUACAGCUUCUAAACUCAUGUCUAACUUUAGUUUAAGACCUUGUUUAAAACGAUUCGGCUAAAAUAAUUUCAUGCCAACGACUUCAACAAUUUCUUCGCUAUCGGUGAAAUCUCGAGUGAAAUGAUCGCAAACAGCUACACGAAAACAGCUUGCUUAUUCAUCCCUUCGCGGCUGGUCCGACAAAUGAAAGACGGAGGCGCUGGGAAUUGGCUAUUGGCCGAAAGCUGUAUUUGGUUACCGGUACAUGAGCAGGCAAAAAAGGCUACAAACAUCGAACACAAAAUGCUGAGUGACUACCAGUGAGGGAAGGAAUUUCGUUAUAGUUUCAGUCGAGGUUUCAGUGAUGUGAAUGGAAGUCGAUGAUGAAAGUCGAAGCCCUUUAAGAAAACGAAUUAAGACCAGACUUUUCCGCAGUUCGAGCAAUAUAUAUUCGGGAACCAUCACGGAAUAACUAUUCUGAUCUGGACGAGUUGUGCUUUAAUAUUUUCCGAAGCGAAACAUCGUUUUUCAAGAUAUUGUUAUUUUUCAAUCCCCUGUUUCCUAAAGUUUCAACUCGUUUUAACAAUGCCUGAUGAAAAACUUAACUAUUUAUUAAAUAAAAUGUGUACAAUAAAAAUAAAUUAAUAUGUCUGAA